AUAGUCCCCAACACAGUGGUUGUAGUUGUGACUGAGCUGUCACAAACAAGAUGGCCGGUCGUGGUGGCAUCAUGGGAUUCAGAAACACACGCACAGCAUUGGGAGAGGAGCCCAGAGUUUCAACAGCAGAUUUCUCAUUCUCCACACCCUGUGCCAAAGCAGAUGGGCAGAGGAAGCUUGGCGAGUAAACAGCAUGCUUGACAUUACGGAGCAAGGCUGCAGCAGAACAAUUUCUGGAUGCCAACCCAGGGCCCCAGUCCCGAAACCAGCCCUUUCCUUCUGGACACCUACCACAUAGCAAGAAGCUUCAUCCACAACGUGGGAAUCCCAGGCAUAAUUUCCUCUUCUAAGAGUAGGAAUAUGUGCGUCCUAGAUACACGCUGUAACUACCAAAUAACAGGUUCUAUCCUGGGGAGGUGCUUCACGCCCAAAAUAAAACAGGGACACUUGGCAAGAGACAAGAUUUGGUGAGGGAAUCAGAAGCUGUCA